rnacentral:rRNA from 1 species
AGAGUUUGAUCCUGGCUCAGGACGAACGCUGGCGGCGUGCUUAACACAUGCAAGUCGAACGGAAAGGCCCACCACCUUUGGUGGUGGGUACUCGAGUGGCGAACGGGUGAGUAACACGUGGGUGAUCUGCCCCGCACUGUGGGAUAAGCCUGGGAAACUGGGUCUAAUACCACAUACGACCACACUGUAGACAGUGUGGUGGAAAGCUUUUGCGGUGUGGGAUGAGCCCGCGGCCUAUCAGCUUGUUGGUGGGGUAAUGGCCUACCAAGGCGGCGACGGGUAGCCGGCCUGAGAGGGUGGACGGCCACAUUGGGACUGGGACACGGCCCAGACUCCUACGGGAGGCAGCAGUGGGGAAUAUUGCACAAUGGGCGCAAGCCUGAUGCAGCGACGCCGCGUGGGGGAUGGAAGGCCUUCGGGUUGUAAACUCCUUUCGCCCGGGACGAAGCCCACCUGGUGGGUGACGGUACCGUGGAGAAGAAGCACCGGCUAACUACGUG